AUGGAGGAGGAUAUUGACCAGGCUGCUGAUAUGUUCAUUAGGAGUGAUCAUUUCGUGAGUACCCGAUAUCCAAUGCCUGGCUCCUCGUCCUUGCCUCGCUUCAUCGCAGGAUGGCCACGGUUUGCGCCAUCUCUCAAUGGAUCGACGCCCUUAUUGUGGCCGGCCUGGAGAAGAGUGCCAAGCUGGACAACCACAAGACUUUGGUCCACAAGGUCGAGAGCCAGGGGUAUUGGGAUGGUUGAGGAUCUAUCUCACUAUUUAGCACCGAUUGAUGGGGAGGGUGGUGCUCGUGGCUGCCCUAACUGGACAUUCCAACCCAUUUUCAGCGACGGAGUUAGUUGCUAUUACACUGACAAGUACAACAGCGAUGAAAAUUUUGACGGAGGAGACGAGUCCUUGGUGAUUGAUGUGAUGAGUAGAAGCCAGGGGGCUGAGGAGUUGGGAUUCAACAUGGACAAGGAUAUCAACCAGGCUGCCGAAAUGUUCAUCGGAAGGUUCCCUAAGUUCAUGAACACAAGUUGGAAGUUUUGA
rnacentral:rRNA from 1 species